GCUGGGCGUGGUAGUGCAUGCCUGUAAUCCCAGCAACUCAGGAGGCUGAGACAGAAGGAUCAUGAGUUCAAAGUGAGCCUCAGUAAAUUAGGCCGUAGGUAACUUAGGGAGAGGCUGUCUCAA
rnacentral:sRNA from 1 species